rnacentral:rRNA from 1 species
UACGGAAGGCAGCAGUGGGGAAUAUUGCACAAUGGGCGCAAGCCUGAUGCAGCCAUGCCGCGUGUAUGAAGAAGGCCUUCGGGUUGUAAAGUACUUUCAGUCGUGAGGAAGGUGUUAAGGUUAAUAACCUUAGCAAUUGACGUUAGCGACAAGAAGAAGCACCGGCUAACUCCGUGCCAGCAGCCGCGGUAAUACGGAGGGUGCGAGCGUUAAUCGGAAUUACUGGGCGUAAAGGGCACGCAGGCGGUUAAUUAAGUUGGAUGUGAAAUCCCCGGGCUUAACCUGGGAAUGGCAUUCAAGACUGGUUAGCUAGAGUCUUGUAGAGGGGGUAGAAUUCCAUGUGUAGCGGUGAAAUGCGUAGAGAUGUGGAGGAAUACCGGUGGCGAAGGCGGCCCCUGGACAAAGACUGACGCUCAUGUGCGAAAGCGUGGGGAGCAAACAGGGAUUAGAUACC